rnacentral:rRNA from 1 species
ACUGGCUUUCGGAGCUAACGCGUUAAGUAGACCGCCUGGGGAGUACGGUCGCAAGAUUAAAACUCAAAUGAAUUGACGGGGGCCCGCACAAGCGGUGGAGCAUGUGGUUUAAUUCGAUGCAACGCGAAGAACCUUACCUACUCUUGACAUCCAGAGAAUUCGCUAGAGAUAGCUUAGUGCCUUCGGGAACUCUGAGACAGGUGCUGCAUGGCUGUCGUCAGCUCGUGUUGUGAAAUGUUGGGUUAAGUCCCGCAACGAGCGCAACCCUUAUCCUUGUUUGCCAGCACGUAAUGGUGGGAACUCCAGGGAGACUGCCGGUGAUAAACCGGAGGAAGGUGGGGACGACGUCAAGUCAUCAUGGCCCUUACGAGUAGGGCUACACACGUGCUACAAUGGCGUAUACAGAGGGCUGCCAACCAGCGAUGGUGAGCGAAUCCCAGAAAGUACGUCGUAGUCCGGAUUGGAGUCUGCAACUCGACUCCAUGAAGUCGGAAUCGCUAGUAAUCGUGGAUCAGAAUGCCACGGUGAAUACGUUCCCGGGCCUUGUACACACCGCCCGUCACACCAUGGGAGUGGGCUGCACCAGAAGUAGAUAGCUUAACCUUCGGGAGGGCGUU